CCUUAAGGAAUCAGGCGUCCUGCCAUCCCCUCCUCCUGUUCUCUGCCCCAAGUGCUGUACUCUAGCUCCUGGCUUUCCCUCAAGAUUCGAGCUUUCUCUUUACACUCACUGGGACCUUGGGCAAGCCUCUCUCUGCGCCUCAGUUUCUCCCUUUAAAGUGGGGAGGAGCUGGUCUCUAAGGAGCGUUCCUGUUCUAACAUUCUAAGGUUCUCUAAGUUUAUGAUUCUAUAUCCGGAGUCGGGACCCUGGGAGACCUAGACGCUCGGUGGUGCUACUGUUCCUCCGCCUCGGCUCCCUCAAGGACCCAGGCGUCGGACCCCUCACCCCUCCAGCCACCUGCUCAAGCCCUCUUCCGCAACUCCACCCUUGCAGAGAACAAAAUUUAAGGGCCCCCUAGUGACCACAGGUGACCAGAGGAAUUCACACCAAUGGGAGAGCUUUCUCCUUCCUCAGUAAUGAGUUUUUACAAGAUGAGCCACUUCAGUUUCUUCUCCCAGGAGGCAGGCUCCUCCAGGGAUCUGCACCCCCUGGAUACCAGCUACACCCCAAAGCCUUGUCACUUGGAGCUCUACUCCUUCCAGGAACCGAUCGUGGGUAAGCAGCCACCGCCUGUGUCUUCCCAGGCCUUGAAUGUCUUCUACAGAUCCCUCCCUUGAAGCCCCUAUCUCCCGGCUACGAAUGACUGGAACAGAGCCCUGUUUGACUUCAGGUGCACAAACUUGUGUGUGAAUGGGGCACUGCUCCCCUGCCUGCUGGCCUGUUUUGUGGCUGACACCCAGGGAGAAUGUUGCUGUCUCCCCUACCUGCCAGGGGCCCUGGUGGCUAUGAGGACUUCCCUGAGGGUUACUCAAGGUAUCCAGGGAUCCAUAGCUGAGGACUGGCUGGUCAUGUGCUGCUGUCCAGUCUGUGGCCUCUGCCAGAUGGCACACCAGUACAAUAGCUCCAUCAUCUGAAAUAAAGGCGGUUCCCCAUCUCCCAAGUCUCUCAAGCAAUUCCCUAAGGCAGUGUGGUCUGAGGAUUUGCAAUCAGAGGGCAGGGAUUCUGUUCCAGGUGGCCUUGAGCAGGUCUUUGCCCUGCUCUGGACCCGUUUCUUCUGCACAACAAGGGGCUGGGCUACAUUAUCUGUGAGGACUCUUGUCUCUCUAGCCCUCAGAGUCAUCCCCUCAUGGCUUCCCAAAGGCUCAGCCAGCAUUCCCAUUCCCUGCACCCCAGCCCCAUACA